rnacentral:rRNA from 1 species
UACAGAGGUCUCAAGCGUUGUUCGGAUUCAUUGGGCGUAAAGGGCGCGUAGGCGGCGGGGUAAGUCGGGUGUGAAAUCUCAGAGCUCAACUCUGAAAUGGCACUUGAUACUACUCUGCUAGAGGACUGGAGAGGAGAUUGGAAUUCACGGUGUAGCAGUGAAAUGCGUAGAUAUCGUGAGGAAGACCGGUGGCGAAGGCGGAUCUCUGGACAGUUCCUGACGCUGAGGCGCGAAGGCCAGGGGAGCAAACGGG